rnacentral:rRNA from 1 species
UCGGGAAUUUUGGGCAAUGGGCGAAAGCCUGACCCAGCAACGCCGCGUGAAGGAUGAAGUAUUUCGGUAUGUAAACUUCGAAAGAAUGGGAAGAAUAAAUGACGGUACCAUUUAUAAGCUCCGGCUAACUACGUGCCAGCAGCCGCGGUAAUACGUAGGGAGCAAGCGUUGUUCGGAUUUACUGGGCGUAAAGGGCGCGUAGGCGGCGCGGUAAGUCACUUGUGAAAUCUCUGAGCUUAACUCAGAACGGCCAAGUGAUACUGCAGUGCUAGAGUGCAGAAGGGGCAAUCGGAAUUCUUGGUGUAGCGGUGAAAUGCGUAGAUAUCAAGAGGAACACCUGAGGUGAAGACGGGUUGCUGGGCUGACACUGACGCUGAGGCGCGAAAGCCAGGGGAGCAAACGGGAUUAGAUACCCCAGUAGUCCCUGAGCGGGCUGGCAAGGCGCAU